UACGGAGGGUGCAAGCGUUGUCCGGAUUUAUUGGGUUUAAAGGGUGCGUAGGCGGCCCGGUAAGUCAGUGGUGAAAGCCUCCAGCUCAACUGGAGAACUGCCAUUGAUACUGCCGGGCUUGAGUACAGACGAGGUUGGCGGAAUUGAUUGUGUAGCGGUGAAAUGCGCAGAUAUCGGGAGGAACACCAAUGGCGAAGGCAGCUCGCUGGGACGGUACUGACGCUGAGACGCGAAAGCGUGGGGAGCAAACAGG
rnacentral:rRNA from 1 species